AUAUGAAUUGAAAGGUGAAUUCCUAAUGAGUUCAGGAAGCCAAGCCAGAGCUCUCUGAGACGGUCACAGCGAUGGGGGUAGAUGUUUUGAACAAGAGAGACCUUUCGGAAAUAAUAAAUAUACAAAUAUGUAUUUUACACUUAUGAGAGCCUUCCCUUCUUCUGCAUCCCUUCUCCCCCCCCACAUCUGCUGAGUCCAUGGAUGGAAGGAUGAGCCUGUUCUGAAGAUUCUUCUUGGAAAGAGUCACACUCCCACAGACAUGGCCAUCGAGAAAGAAGCAAGCUGCACUCAUCUUGAAAAGCUCCAGAAAAUUGGAUUCGUUUUUGAGAUGAGCAAGCCGGACAGGAGAGAGGAGAGGAGUAAAAAGCACAGCAGCGAUCACUGAAUUUAUUCAGUCUUACACAGUAUCACAGGUCUAAAUGUAAAACACACUGCUUUCAUCCACACAGUGAUAUUUCUCUUGAUUUCUCCCGUAGCAAUAGAAUCUAAUGAUUCUAUUUCUAUGAUGUCUCCUGUGGAGUAUUGUGUCGCGACGAAGCAGAAAUGACUCUGCCUCGACAAUAUAGGAGCACGUUCGUUAACUCACUCACUUCGCUGAGGGCACUUCUGACUUCCCACUUCACAUGCCUCUCUCACGCCGUCACACACGGGAUUGAAGGUUCAAACAGCCUAUAAAGAGCAUGUCACUGUCAAUAGCAGAAUGCUUCCGAUGAGAAAGGUCAGGAAGCCCAGGAGCAAGGUCAUCCUGUUUCGCUUUUCACAUCUGGUGCAACAGAUUAACAGAACGAAGGGAUGAUCAGAUGUAUGCCUGAGCAGGAAUCCCUGAACCCCAUCUCUCAGCAGUCCUGAUUGGCAUGCAUUCCAUUCUCGGGAUGGAGGGAUGGAGAGACGGUGUGAUGGGAUGGUCUGGGUUUUGUUGUGCUUUGAGGUCCCUUCUUUUGUUUCUGGUCAGAUGUUGUUGAUUUCUCUUGAGCCUGUCACGGUCAUAGGCUUAUAGGUUACCUGUGAAACGUUGAAUAAACUGCUCUAUGGUAUUUAUAUUGGUUACCAAUGGUUACCAUCUAAUGGUUACCAUUAUUCUAGGUCCUAUAUUCUGAUUACUUGUAUUACUUCCUCAACUAGAGUAGCUUCAGGAUAUCCCAACAUUGUGUUGGUUAUAUAAGCAAGCAGCCCUUGGUGAAUUUCCCUGGCUUUCUUGCUCGUCCGACCUUGCUGUGUAGGGUCAGAGCUGAAUGAAGUAUUGAGGUAUUGAUUGUUUUUAGGUAUCUUGUUGAAGGACUGUGACUUUCCCUCUAGUUUCCUGAACCAUGGCUCUGUAUCUGGACCAGAGGUCAUUGACCCGUGUCUGGCCAUUGACAAAUAUGUGGGUUGUGUGUUCUUCCUUGCAUCAAUUAGGUAUUUAUAUUCCCCAGAAAAAGGUGCUAACAUAGUUUUUUAUAGACUUUGAUACAGUUUAAAUAAAUGUACUUAGCAAAUUCUAUACAUUCUGACCUCUGUUAUAUCAGAAAGGGUUUUCUUUCAUUGCGAUGAAUGAUCCAGGCAGAGCAAACAGCAGUAAAAUAAUUCGUUUGGCCAAGAAAUCCUUUUUGAUCCUUGUUAUAAAUGUAUUUUCAAAAGUCUAUCAAUAUGUUGUGUCAUAGU